rnacentral:rRNA from 1 species
GACGAACGCUGGCGGCGUGCUUAACACAUGCAAGUCGAGCGGUAAGGCCCUUUCGGGGGUACACGAGCGGCGAACGGGUGAGUAACACGUGGGUGACCUGCCCUCAGCUCUGGGAUAAGCCUGGGAAACCGGGUCUAAUACUGGAUAUGACUCCAUGACGCAUGUUGUGGGGUGGAAAGCCUUGUGCGGCUGAGGAUGGGCCCGCGGCCUAUCAGCUUGUUGGUGGGGUGANGGCCUACCAAGGCGACGACGGGUAGCCGGCCUGAGAGGGCGACCGGCCACACUGGGACUGAGACACGGCCCAGACCCCUACGGGAGGCAGCAGUGGGGAAUCUUGCGCAAUGGGCGAAAGCCUGACGCAGCGACGCCGCGUGAGGGAUGACGGCCUGGU